rnacentral:rRNA from 1 species
UACAACGGAGAGUUUGAUCCUGGCUCAGGAUGAACGCUAGCGGCAGGCUUAAUACAUGCAAGUCGUACGGUAGAGAUUCUUUCGGGGAUCUUGAGAGUGGCGCACGGGUGCGUAACGCGUAUGCAACCUACCUGUUACAGGGGGAUAGCCCGGGGAAACCCGGAUUAAUACCCCAUGGUAUAUAGAUACCGCAUGGUAUUUAUAUUAAAGAUUUAUCGGUAACAGAUGGGCAUGCGUAGGAUUAGCUGGUUGGUAAGGUAACGGCUUACCAAGGCUACGAUCCUUAGGGGUUCUGAGAGGAAGGUCCCCCACACUGGCACUG